rnacentral:rRNA from 1 species
GUGAACGCUGGCGGUAGGCCUAACACAUGCAAGUCGAACGGCAGCACAGUAAGAGCUUGCUCUUACGGGUGGCGAGUGGCGGACGGGUGAGGAAUACAUCUGAAUCUACUUUUUCGUGGGGGAUAACGUAGGGAAACUUACGCUAAUACCGCAUACGACCUACGGGUGAAAGCAGGGGAUCUUCGGACCUUGCGCGAUUGAAUGAGCCGAUGUCGGAUUAGCUAGUUGGCGGGGUAAAGGCCCACCAAGGCGACGAUCCGUAGCUGGUCUGAGAGGAUGAUCAGCCACACUGGAACUGAGACACGGUCCAGACUCCUACGGGAGGCAGCAGUGGGGAAUAUUGGACAAUGGGCGCAAGCCUGAUCCAGCCAUACCGCGUGGGUGAAGAAGGCCUUCGGGUUGUAAAGCCCUUUUGUUGGGAAAGAAAAGCAGCAGGUUAAUACCCCGCUGUUCUGACGGUACCCAAAGAAUAAGCACCGGCUAACUUCGUG